ACGCUCGACACCUACUGGAGGCAGCAGUUGGGAAUAUUGGACAAUGGAGGAAACUCUGAUCCAGUGACGCCGCGUGAAGGAAGAAGGUCUUCGGAUUGUAAACUUAUUUUGUCAGGGAAGAAAAAUGACUGUACCUGAAGAAAAAGCACCGGCUAACUACGUGCCAGCAGCCUCGGUAAUCUGAGCGGGCUGGCAAGGC
rnacentral:rRNA from 1 species